UACAGAGGUCUCAACCGUUGUUCGGAUUCAUUGGGCGUAAAGAGCUCGUAGGCGGUUCGUCGCGUCGGCUGUGAAAACCUGAGGCUCAACCUCAGGCCUGCAGUCGAUACGGGCGGACUUGAGUACUGCAGGGGAGACUGGAAUUCCUGGUGUAGCGGUGAAAUGCGCAGAUAUCAGGAGGAACACCGGUGGCGAAGGCGGGUCUCUGGGCCGUAACUGACGCUGAGGAGCGAAAGCGUGGGGAGCGAACAGG
rnacentral:rRNA from 1 species